rnacentral:rRNA from 1 species
UACGUAGGGGGCAAGCGUUGUCCGGAAUCAUUGGGCGUAAAGCGCGUGUAGGCGGCCAGUUAAGUCCGCUGUGAAAUCUCGAGGCUCAACUUCGAGCUGUCGGUGGAAACUGUCGGGCUAGAGUCCGGAAGAGGAGAAUGGAAUUCCUGGUGUAGCGGUGAAAUGCGCAGAUAUCAGGAGGAACACCCGUGGCGAAGGCGGUUCUCUGGGACGGUACUGACGCUGAGACGCGAAAGCGUGGGGAGCGAACAGG